AGUGAACGCUGGCGGUAGGCCUAACACAUGCAAGUCGAACGGCAGCACAGUAAGAGCUUGCUCUUACGGGUGGCGAGUGGCGGACGGGUGAGGAAUACAUCGGAAUCUACUUUUUCGUGGGGGAUAACGUAGGGAAACUUACGCUAAUACCGUAUACGACCUACGGGUGAAAGCAGGGGAUCUUCGGACCUUGCGCGAUUGAAUGAGCCGAUGUCGGAUUAGCUAGUUGGCGGGGUAAAGGCCCACCAAGGCGACGAUCCGUAGCUGGUCUGAGAGGAUGAUCAGCCACACUGGAACUGAGACACGGUCCAGACUCCUACGGGAGGCAGCAGUGGGGAAUAUUGGACAAAGGGCGCAAGCCUGAUCCAGCCAUACCGCGUGGGUGAAGUAGGCCUUCGGGUUGUAAAGCCCUUUUGUUGGGAAAGAAAAGCAGCAGGUUAAUACCCCGCUGUUCUGACGGUACCCAAAGAAUAAGCACCGGCUAACUUCGUG
rnacentral:rRNA from 1 species